rnacentral:rRNA from 1 species
UUAAAUUGAAGAGUUUGAUCAUGGCUCAGAUUGAACGCUGGCGGCAGGCCUAACACAUGCAAGUCGAACGGUAACAGGAAACAGCUUGCUGUUUCGCUGACGAGUGGCGGACGGGUGAGUAAUGUCUGGGAAACUGCCUGAUGGAGGGGGAUAACUACUGGAAACGGUAGCUAAUACCGCAUAACGUCGCAAGACCAAAGAGGGGGACCUUCGGGCCUCUUGCCAUCGGAUGUGCCCAGAUGGGAUUAGCUAGUAGGUGGGGUAACGGCUCACCUAGGCGACGAUCCCUAGCUGGUCUGAGAGGAUGACCAGCCACACUGGAACUGAGACACGGUCCAGACUCCUA